AGAAAAAUGAGUGUCUAGGAAAGAGUU
rnacentral:piRNA from 1 species